rnacentral:rRNA from 1 species
CUUUAAUUGAGAGUUUGAUCCUGGCUCAGGACGAACGCUGGCGGCGUGCCUAAUACAUGCAAGUCGAGCGGACUGAUGUGGAGCUUGCUCCAUGGAUGUCAGCGGCGGACGGGUGAGUAACACGUGGGUAACCUGCCUGGCAGACUGGGAUAACGCUUGGAAACGAGUGCUAAUACCGGAUGAUCUCUU